rnacentral:rRNA from 1 species
AAAGAAAAUAACAAUGAUUCCCUUAGUAACGGCGAGUGAAGGGGGAAAAGCUCAAAUUUUAAAUCUGCUAGGUUUUACCUGUCAGAAUUGUAAUUUGAAGAAGCGUUUUCCGCGUCUCGGUUGACCCAAAUCCUUUGGGAUGAGGUAUCAUGGAGGGUGAGAAUCCCGUUCGGUUUACCUUAUGACGUUUUACGAUACGCUUUCUAAGAGUCGAGUUGUUUGGGAUUGCAGCUCAAAAUGGGAGGUAAAUUUCUCCUAAGGCUAAAUAUCGGCGAGAGACCGAUAGCGAACAAGUACCGUGAGGGAAAGAUGAAAAGAACUUUGAAAAGAGAGUAAAAUAGUACGUGAAAUUGUUGAAAGGGAAACGAUUGAAGUCAGUCGUACCGACGAGAAAUCAACUUAUUGUGUGCGAACUUGUGGGCGUGCGUGAGUUUCGGCCUCGCUGUUUGCAUGUUUGUGCGUUUUGGGUGUACUUUUUCGUAUGGUAGGCCAACAUCAGUUUCGAUUACUAUAAAAUGACCGGCGGAAUGUAGCUUCGAUUUCGGUUGAAGUGUUAUAGCCUCUGGUAGAUGUGGUGAUUGGGACUGAGGAUUGCAACGAAUAUCCUUUGGGCUAUCCGUCUGAUCUCUGAAAGUUGCUCAGGUGCCGAAAGCAUGCUUACGGUCAUCUAAGUUGACGGUCAAAAGGUUAGAAGCGUGAUUACAUUCGUUAAGGA